UACGGGAGGGGUAAGCGUUGUUCGGAAUUACUGGGCGUAAAGCGCAUGUAGGCGGCCAAGCAGGUCGGAUGUGAAAGCCCUCGGCUCAACCAAGGAAGUGCAUUCGAAACCGCAUGGCUCGAGUCCCGGAGAGGAUGGUGGAAUUCUCGGUGUAGAGGUGAAAUUCGUAGAUAUCGAGAGGAACACCGGCGGCGAAGGCGGCCAUCUGGACGAGGACUGACGCUGAGAUGCGAAAGCGUGGGGAGCAAACAGG
rnacentral:rRNA from 1 species